rnacentral:misc_RNA from 1 species
AAGUGGGCAACUGAAUUUGAGCUUUACUUUGAGUUUCAGCACCAUUGGCAUUGGCUUUGGCUUUGGCAUUAGCAUCCUUCAAUUUGGCCUCCUUCAAAGCAGACCUCCACUUAAUAAAAUGACCAAAAAGGAUCUCCAUAUCCUCCAAUGUCCUCCCCUGCGUCUCGGGUAAACAUGUGAAAAAGAACGUCCAUGCCACCGCUGCUAUUGCCGCGAAUAAGAAAAACGCCCCACCUAUUGUUAUGCCUUUGUACAACGA